rnacentral:rRNA from 1 species
GACGAACGCUGGCGGCGUGCCUAAUACAUGCAAGUCGAACGCAGUGGGGACGGGUGAGUAACACGUGGGUAACCUCCCAUCAGAGGGGAUAACACUUGGAAACAGGUGCUAAACCGAUACUGAUGGAUGGACCCGCGGUGCAUUAGCUAGUUGGUGGGGUAACGGCUAACCAAGGCCACGAUGCAUAACCGGCCUGAGAGGGUGAUCGGCCACACUGGAACUGAGACACGGCCCAGACUCCUACGGGAGGCAGCAGUGGGGAAUCUUCGGCAAUGGGCGAAAGUCUGACCGAGCCACGCCGCGUGAGUGAAGAAGGUUUUCGGAUCGUAAAGCACUGUUGUCAGGGAGGCGGUAUCUAACCAGAAAGCAACGGCUAACUACGUGCCAGCAGCCGCGGUAAUAC